UUCUCUUAGGGAUAAGAUUAUAUUUUGCUUUAGCCGCUUCUCUUUCUUCUUUCUCUCUUCUCUCUCGGCUUUCGUUUCUCUUUUCUUCGGCGAUCCUGCUCACGAUAACAUCUCCUAGCUCUAUGCAUACUCUCUGCAACUAUUUUUUUCGGCGUUCCCGCUUGGUUAAUCCUGCUCGCGAUAAGAUCAAAAGAAAGCUUCCCUGACAACUAUAAUCGCGGCGAAUCAUCGUGAUCAGUUAGCUGGAAUACCGAGGAACAAACUGCGUUGCUAUGCUCUUGCGCCUGUUAGGUGUAUGCCACUUAACUUAGCCAUCAAGUAUGCUGACAUGAUUUACUAUGUGGUGUUGCAGGAUGAUUUCUUGCCAAGAACAACAACACAUUUGGAAUAUAUUUUUAAAUCUAUCUUCUGGUAUUUUUAUUUCUUUUCCUCUUUACAUUUUGUUUAUAUUCCUUGAUAAUUUGGAAAGCUUUCCUUGUUUAUUAUUAGCAAUUUUUUAGAGAGAUACCUUCAUACCAGAAGGCAUAAAGCUUAGAGAUCCUAGGAGACUAUAUGUUCAUGGUAUAAUGUAUCAUAUUGUUGAAAGGAAAUUUUGCAAGUAAAUCUUUAUAAAAAGAAGAAGCAUUUUGAUCUUCUCUUCUCUUCUCAUAUUGUCUAUAUGUAUGUCUCUCAGAUGUGGAAGGUUUCCUCCAGUAGUAAUAUAUAUAUACUUGAUAUAUUCUUUGUUUUUCCUU